CUGUACCCCAACCGGUAGAGGGAGCCGCCUCAAAAGCGGCGUAGUGCGGGUCCGAAUCCCGCCACCAUGUCCA
rnacentral:tRNA from 1 species